GUCCUCGUGGCGCAAUUGGAUAGCGCGUUGGCCUCCGAAGCCAAAGGUUACAGGUUCGAAUCCUGUCGGGGACG
rnacentral:tRNA from 1 species